rnacentral:lncRNA from 1 species
ACGUUCAUCGCCAGAAAUCAGUACAUCGCUAGCUGUAACUGAACAGCCUUCACCAGAAACCAGUACAUCUGCAGAAGGCAAUGAGUGUGUUCCCUUCCAAUACAGAAAGAGAAUAGUGAGAGGGUGCAUAGGCAAAGAAGGGAAGACGAAGAAUGUUAAAACUGUGGGAGAAGGAGGAGUGGUAACAAAGUGGAGAGUGACUGGCAGAUGGUGUGCCGCAGCGGUAGACAGGAAUUUGCAAAUCACAAGAAUCAUACCUUGCCCAACCAGAAAUGGUGUAACUGAACAACCACCACCAGAAACAAAUCUUUCUCCAGAAGGCAAUGAGUGUGUUCCCUUUGAUACAGAAGAGAAUAGUGAGAGGGUGCAUAGGCAAAGAAGGGAAGACGAAGAAUGUUAAAACUGUGGGAGAAGGAGGAGUGGUAACAAAGUGGAGAGUGACUGGCAGAUGG